AGCUGGUCUGAUGGUAGUGGGUUAUCAGAAUUUACUAACAUUAGUGUCACUAAAGUUGAUAUACAACCCCUCACUGCUAAAUUUGACUGGCUUAAA
rnacentral:Y_RNA from 1 species